GCUGGGGCCCCAAGCAUGGCAUCAUGGAACACGAAUGUACAAAACCAGUCGAGGAAGAGGAAGAGGAAGGCUCCAGUCAUGGCAUGAGGACAAAGAGGAGAGCAUUGGGGCCCAGAGCAUCACAUGGGGAACCCAUAUGUGCAAAACCAAUGGAGGAAGAGGAGGAGGAAGGCUCCAACCAUGGCACAAAUGCAAAGAGGAGAACGCUGGGUCUCAGAGCAUGGCAUGGUGGAACCCAGAUGUGCAAAAUCAGCGGAGGAAGAGGAGGAGGAAGGCUCCAACCACAGCACAAAGGCAAAGAGGAGAGCGUUGGGACUCAGUGCGUGACAUGAUGGAAGCCUAAUGUGCAAAACCAAUUGAGGAAGAGGAGAAGGAAGGCUCCAAUCAUGGCAUGAGAACAAAGAGGAGGACGUUGGGGCUCAGAACAUGGCAUGAUGGAACCCAAAUGUGCAAAAAGAAGUGAGGAAGAGGAGGAGAGAGGCUCUGAAUGUGGCACAAUAGCACAGGGAAGAGUGCUGAGGCUCAGAGCACGGCAUGAUGGAACCCAGGUGGACAAAAUCAGUUGAGGAAGAGGAGGAGGAAGGCUCCCAUUGUGCCACAACAGCACAGAGAGGGGAGGCUCAGAGCUCUCCAGCCGUCUCGACGACGUGGAACAGAGUGACGUUGUAGAGCACCUGGUGCCCGUUGUUCCAGGUGUAGAGGACCCUCUCGCGUGGGUUGUAGUCCAGCAUGGAGAUGUUACAGGGAGCCGUUGUACACCACGUGCCCCGUCCCGGCCCACGGCUGAGGCAGGAGGUGCUGCACGAAGUUCUGCCCCGAAGCGAAGUCCUGCAGGGAGCGGAACUCCAAAACGCGGCGGCCUCUGGAAUAGCCGUCCAGGAAC
ensembl:lncRNA